GUCAGUCUUAAUUAUACAUUAAUAUACUCAUCAUCUCGUGUAUCAAAAUGAUGCAGAGGAGAAAAGAAUAGUGUCUGGCUCAUGAUGAUACUUGAGGUCACACUCCUGCAGUGCCGUUAUUCACCACAUCACACAGUAUUCAUGUUGCUGGUCCAAUAUGCAGUCCAAUACUGCAGCCUUUUUCACGGGGAGCGAGCUUCCAAAUUUACCCUCCCGCUGUGCUCGCUCCCCGUGCCUUAAAAAGCGCGUGCACGGCUGAAGGUCACUUAAACACAAAAGGCUUUCAGCGCUGCGGUCCAAUAUAGCGCAUGCGCGCUGCCGGAGGACUGCUUCACAGACCGCAAUAUGGCGAGAAUGCCUGCCAGCGGAGACACAGAGCAGAAGCAGAUAAGCUGCCCCGAGAGGAGCAGGGAGGAGGAUAAUGAGGAGGAAGAUGAAGAAGAUGAGAUCCAGGAGGUCCAGAUCACCGGGGAGGAAGAGGACGAGGGGUCCGAUCGAGAUGGUGUGGAGCUUGAGUGGGAGUCAGAGGGUACAGUGCUGGACUCCAGCGGUUCUGCCGCGGAGAUAAAAGCGGUCGUUAUGCGGAGUAUGGACCGGGGAGAGGAGGAGGGAGAGGCGGACCCCUUCAGCAGCGGCAUACCCGCUGGGCUGGAAUCUCAACUGGAGGGAGACGUUCAGCGGUCAGAGCGGAACAGGCUGAGCGAGAACACCCGCCUGGCCACCCGGUAUGCGGUGAGAAUCUUCAGGGAGUACCUCAGCGAGAAAGCCCAAAGUCCAGACUUUGAAACUCUGGACAAGGAGGCGCUUUGCGUUGUGCUGCGCUCCUUUUACGCAGAGGCGCGCUCCAAAAGUGGACAGUUGUACAGCAAGUCGUCCCUCAUCAGCAUCCGGAGCUCACUCAAUCGGUACCUUAACGAGCCGCCCUACUGUCGAUCACUGGACCUCACUAAGGACCCUGAACUUCGCAGUGCCAACUUGACCCUGGCCGCGGUCAUACGGAGGCUGGAAGAGCAAGGCGCUGGUCCCGUGGUGCAGAAACAAGCCAUCACGCGCUCGGACCUUCGGAAACUGUACGAGUCAUCAGUGUUCAAUUCCGACACGCCGUUCGGGUUGCUCAACAAAGUGUGGUUCGAGACCUGCAUGUAUUUCUGCACCAGGGGCCGGGAGAACCAGCGGGAGUUGGAGGAGGACUCGUUCGGUCUGGCUGUGGAUGAAGACGGAAGAAAGUUUGUCUAUUUUAAAGCUCUCGGACCAUACCAUAAGUCCCGCUCAGCCGCCUGGACCAAGAAGCGUCCGGACGCAGAGGAGGACACCUUGCCGCGGAUGUACGAGACGGGCUCGGAACAGUGUCCAUACGCCAGCUUCGUACGAUACGUUUCUAAAAGGAACCCGCUCUGCAGGGCGUUCUUUCAGCGGCCACGGGACCACUGCUGCGCGAGUGACAUGACGUGGUACGAGAACAAAGCUAUCGGUAAGAACCUGUUGGGCACGAGGAUGCAGAUGUUGUCGCGCGCUGCCAAGCUCUCCAAGACCUACACCAACCACUGCAUCGGCGCCGUCUCCAUAGCAACGCUCAACAGCAUCGUGGGCGCCGCGGGCUCCAGGCCGCCGACGACGCUUUACGUUGCUUCGGAAACGGUCAACGGUCACGCGCAGUCCCACCUCCAGCUCGUGAUCCCAUACCGGAUAACAGGCGCUGCAGAUCUGAUGCCGCAGCGGACAACAGCAGCAACAGUAAACACACCAUCAACGUGUAGGGUCAGCGCCGAGGAGGACCCAGAGGCUCCCUAUGCCAAGAGGCUGUGCGUGCGCCCUGGGACACGCGCGGAGUUGCCUGUGGAGCGGAAGGAGAGCGAGACGGUGCCCACCAGAGCCACCGAGUCCCAUAUACAUACACAGCCGGUGGUGCGGUCCCCGGUCGCUGUGCCUACACAGGACAGCUGUGGCAGCAGCAGUACGACGAGUCAGCAGCUAGUCUCUGUGUCUCCUGUGAGUUCCACUGGGAUCCCAACACCAGCCCAGCUCACCAAAACCAACGCACCUGUCCACAUUGACGUAGGAGGGCACAUGUACACCAGCAGCCUGGCCACCCUUACAAAGUACCCUGAGUCAAGGAUUGGUCGUCUGUUUGAUGGAACGGAGCCCAUAGUGUUGGACAGUCUUAAGCAGCACUACUUCAUUGAUCGAGACGGCCCAAUGUUCCGCUACAUACUUAAUUUCCUCCGGACCUCCAAACUCCUCAUCCCUGCAGACUUCAAAGAAUUCUCCCUGCUUUAUGAAGAGGCCAGUUUCUUCCAGCUGGCUCCUCUGCAGGCUGAGCUGGAGCGUUGGAGGACUGAGCAGGAAUGCAGGGGUGUGUGUCUAGAGUGUGAGUGUGUCAUGAUUCAUGUGGCACCAGAGCUUGGUGAGAGGAUCAGCGUGAGCGCCCAACAGACUGUGAUCGAGGAGGUUUUUCCCGAGGUCAGAGACAUCCUGUCCAGUUCCUUGAACACCAGCUGGAGUGAGGACUCAUCACACAUCAUUCGCUUCCCACUCAACAGCUACUGCCACCUCAACUCUAUCCAGGUGCACUGGAUGAGGCACUGAAAAAAAUGAAGGAGCUGGAGGAACAGGUGUCAUGUCUCUCUCUCUGGACCAUUGCUGGAUAGAUGGUGUGUGUCUGAAGAAGACUACAGAAACACGUACUUAAAGUGCUCCAGGCAUUCAAAAAAAUGGGAUCCUCUACAUCUCUCGCCAGUGUCUCCAGAAAAUCAACGUGCAGGACAAGAAGGAGAACCAUUGCUGUGUCAGUAACCACCUCCUUCCCUCUGACACGUCAGUCUCCAACUGCGUGGGUCGGGGCAUCUUCUGACGGCACUUGACCUCAACUAGGCCAUAGGGAGGGUCCUCACUUGGGUUCACCACUUUGCCAAGGUGUGGAGCAUUGGGGCGGAUGACAAGACCACAUGGAAAAAUAUUAACAUAAAAUGUCUCUGCAUAGCGCCGAAGAACCUGUUGCUCAAGUUCCACUCAUCUACACAUGGCCAUGGUCUGCGGGGCAUCCUUAAAAAUUCUUGUGUGUGAAUGUUUCUGCACUGGACUCUGACCUCACAUGACCUACCUCAUAAAACUUACGUGCAGUAAGCCUAGGGUGACACAUGCUAACCCAGAGUGGGCUGUUGAAUCGAUCCUGUGUUCCCUCUUCAGUUAUCCCUGACAUUUCAGGUGACACCUCUAAACUCUGCAUAUGCACUUGUUCAGCCCAGCAACCAGAAACAAAAUGGUGUAUUGGAAGAGGGUGUAAUGUGAGAAAGGUAGUGAGGGAAAUUUAGAAAAGUUUGGAUGGUGAAGUACAUCCUUGGGCAACACAGCUGGACACUGAUAUGAUAAGAGUGAAGCCUUUGGGACAGCUCCAAAUUUUGAUUCCACCAUAGUGAGAGCAGACAUUCCAUCAACAAUCUUUGCUGUGGUCGAAGAGGAAUGUGGGAUGCUGCUCCAGCAAAUACAUCACUGUCAGGCAAAGGUCCUAAAACAACAUAAUCAUGUCUUUGUGUCUCUGUAUAUUUCUUGUAACCUUAUGUGAAGAUGUAUUUUUAUUAGUAUUUGGAUAUUAAAAUUACCUCCAUAAGGCUUUGUACAGCAUAGACUGCACAGUUCCUGCCAGAGGAUUUAGGCUUUCACACUACAAGCUCAUCCACUGGUUCUGGAGCUAUGCCCUGACAGAAUAUGUCACAUUUUGCACAAGAUUGUUAACUGUUUUCCAAAUGUCAUGGCCUUUUAAAUUAGUUUUUGUUGGUGACUGUUAUCAAAUUAAAAGGAAUAAAAACUGAGUUAUUUUUUCUUUUUACCUGGGUGCAGGGCCUGUGACAGGCUUGCUGUUUGCUUGUGCAAGCAAGAGCAGCUGGAACAUUUUUGGUUCCCAGAGUGCUAAAAUGGGCUGUCUGGUAAAGUAAUGCAACCAAGUAGUUGCACAAACAUCUUCCAGCAAACACAAGAGCAUGUAUAUGCUGUCAUCUCAGGGGGUGUAUUCGUAGUUUCAAAGGUGAUCUGAAGAAAGUCAAAGUUGUCAUAUAUUUCACAAGUGUUUGUAAAGUUGUUUAUUGCACAAUAAAGAUGCACAUGUUAUGAUAAGAUAAGAUUAACUUUAUAAAUCCAGAUAGAAAUGCUGUGCAGCAGUUGCAGUACAAAGUUAGAAUGGUGUCUCGUGUGCAGGAGCUGGGCCUCCAGCCUACUCAGCUGUCAUUCAUCACUCAUCAUCUGCUCACUAUAAGAACCUGCCUCAAACAGCCAGACCUCGCCAGAUUGUAGACUCAGUUCAUGCUGUAAGUUUCUCUCCAGCCAUUUCAUUGUGCAUUUUUGUCCUGCAUGUUUUUGUGAGGCAUAACUACUUCUCUCUUCUGCCUCAGUUCAUGUCCAGCUCCAGUCUCCAACACCAGUCCUCUGUCCAGUCGGCAACCCAGUUACUCCUGCCAUACCUGCCCAACUAUCCACUCUGCCCUCACCUGGAUCUCCACUGCGCUCCGUCUCUUCUCUCUGCCUUGGAGUCCACCAUUCAAAACCCAUUACAGUACAAUCUGUCCAAUAAUGGACUCUGCAGAGAAUGAGGCUUUGAGACACGCUAUUGCCCUGCAAGGCCAGCAUUUAGGCCACCAUAAGGUGACCCUAAAGCGUCUCUCAGAGCAGCUGCAGGAGGUCAGUUCAGCAAUUGCUACACUCAAUGAACAUUUAGCUUCAGCUCCAGCCACCCCACCUCAAGCUCCUAGCCCACAGCCAGCCUCAACUGACCAGCCAGUCCCUCCUGUUUCCGUCCCUGAACCAAACAUUCCUCCACCAGCAAAAUAUUCUGGAGACCCUAAUACUUGCUGACAAUUUCUAACCCAGUGCCAGUUAGCUUUCAGUGCUCAGCCAAUUCGUUACGCCAGUGAAGCGGCAAAAGUAGCUUACCUGGUAAAUUUAUACAUGCAAAUAUAAAUAACAAAUAUAACAACAGAACAGAUAUAAGACCUAGGGAGAUAAGGUGAGUUUAGUGGAAGCAUCACAUUAAUGAACAGAUUUAUGAAUCUAAUGCAUCCCUUUUAUUGUGCUGUAAAAUUAAUUAACAGCCAGGGCUUUUAUUUGCUUCAGUCAUUGAACCACUUGUGUAUAUUUGUGGACAGGUAUUUGUAUGGGAUGGGCUUUUAAUUGCUUUUACACAAAACUCUUGCUAAGCAAAGAUGAAAUACUAUUAAAUUGUAUAUUUUAACCAGAAUGAAUAUUACUUGUAUAAAACGUAGAUGUUUUAAAAACAUGAAUCAUGAAUCAAUUAUUUAAUUAACAGACUGCGCAUGAAGAGAGAGAGAUGGAGAAAAAAAGAGUUGACGGUAGUUUUAAGGACUAAAGUAUCCAUGGGGUGGCCAUGGCUCAGAGGUAGAACGGGUUGUCCACCAAUCAGAAGAUCAGCAGUUCGAUCCCCGGCUCCUUCUGUCUGCAUGCCAAAGUAACUUUGAGCAAGAUACUGAACCCCAAAUUGCUCCCAAUGGCUGUUCUAUCAGUGUGUGAGUGACUUCAAAAAAAAACCUGAGUAGCAUGUGUGGCACCUUGUAUGGUAGUCUCGGCCACCAGUGUACGAAUGUGUGUGUGUGACUGAGUGAAUGUGACUCGUAGUGUAAAAAGCGCUUUGAGUGGUUGGAUGACUAAAAAAGCACUAUACAAAUGCAGGUCCAUUUACCAUUUGUGGACACAACACUUUUCUUUAUCCUCUUAAAACAGGCAACACAACUUGGAUUAAUUUCUUUUUAACAGCGGAUCCUUGCGGACUUAACACGUACUUAGACUUUAUGAAAAAGGUAUGGGGCUGCCACUUUUUCUUCCCCUCUCUUGUUAAGCACUAUCGUGCCGGUAAACCUGAAUGAAUUAUACUUUGUUCCCCGUGGUUUUUUGUCCAAAUAAUUUCUAUGCUGCUAAUUCUAUGCUGCUAAUUUCUGUGCUUCGCACCAGAACCAUGACUAAUUAAGACAUACGUAUUUAUCCACACCCGGCUAGCAAAGGGGAUUUGGCGUUUAAUUGCUGUUAUAUUGUAACCUAUAUCACAUACAUCAUUCUACAUAAUGCCAGCAUGUGCUGUUGGUAUUAUAAAACUAUACAUGCUGUUGGUAUGGAC